UACGUAGGGGGCAAGCGUUGUCCGGAAUUAUUGGGCGUAAAGAGCGUGUAGGCGCCAGAGUAAGUCCGCUGUGAAAUCUCGAGGCUCAACUUCGAGCUGUCGGUGGAAACUAUCUGGCUAGAGUCCGGAAGAGGAGAAUGGAAUUCCUGGUGUAGCGGUGAAAUGCGCAGAUAGUCAGGAAGAACACCCGUGGCGAAGGCGGUUCUCUGGGACGGUACUGACGCUGAGACGCGAAAGCGUGGGGAGCGAACAGG
rnacentral:rRNA from 1 species